UUGGGAUUUUUACAUGCAUACCACUUUAUUUGUUUCAUAUUACAUAUUUAACACCUAAUUUUUAAAUAUUACAUUAAUACCACAUAAAUACUAUUCUCAUAACAAAAGUACCACUCCGUGAAAUGCUUCCCUCACUCCGUUUUCUUUCCCGCCUGUGAUUUUCGCGGGAGAGCAAGAGGUUUCAGCGAAACCUUCUGUAUCCCGGCUUCAGCUCUGCUCUUCCCGCCUCUGCUCUUUCUGCAAGUUCUUUAACUACAAAAAUCAGCAAAAUACAGGUUCUUUAACUACAAAAAUCUUCACGGAUUACCGGUGCUUCGCACCUCUGCUCUUCACGGGUAACAGGCACCUGGAGCCCUGCAGCUGUUCCAGUUUCGGCAAAGGCACCUGGAGCAUUUUAUAUUUCAAUUUCGGCAAAAGCACCUGGAGCCCUUGCUGAUUUCAAUUGCUCUGACAAAGGCACCUGCAGCAAGUUGAUUUCAAUUGCUUUGACAGGAAGAUGACCGGAGGAAGAUCGGCGAGGAAGAUGCCCGGAGGAAGAUCUGCCAGGAAGUUGCCCGGAGGGAAGAUCUGUGAGGAAGAUGCUCGGAGGAAGAUCGGCGAGGAAGAUGUCCGGAGGGAAGAUCUGCGAGGAAGAUGCCCGGAGGGAAGAUCAACGCGAAAGAAAUAACGCCUGGCGACAGCUCGCGGGGAGGAGAAUGCAAGGGUUCGCUGGCUAGGGCAUAUAACGAAUUCAGACGGAGUGAGGAAGCAAUUCACGGAGUGGUACUUUUGUUAUGAGAAUAGUAUUUAGGUGGUAUUAAUGUAAUACUUAAAAAUUAGGUGUUAAAUAUGUAAUAUGAAACAAAUAAAGUGGUAUGUAUGUAAAAAUCCC